UACGAAGGGGGCGAGCGUUGUUCGGAUUUACUGGGCGUAAAGGGCGCGCAGGCGGCUAUCCAAGUCAGGCGUGAAAGCCCCGGGCUUAACCUGGGAGGUGCGUCUGGGACUGGGUGGCUAGAGAUCGGGAGAGGAGAGUGGAAUUCCCAGUGUAGAGGUGAAAUUCGUAGAUAUUGGGAAGAACACCGGUGGCGAAGGCGGCUCACUGGACCGAGACUGACGCUGAGGCGCGAAAGCGUGGGGAGCAAACAGG
rnacentral:rRNA from 1 species